GUCCGGCCGGCUCGACGUAAGGGCACCGUCCUGACACGACGGAGCCCAUCCGUUCGACACCGGCGCCGGACAC
rnacentral:tRNA from 1 species